rnacentral:rRNA from 1 species
CACGUAGGGACCAAGCGUUGUCCGGAUUCAUUGGGCGUAAAGAGCUCGUAGGCGGCUCAGUAAGUCGGGUGUGAAAUCUCCAGGCUCAACCUGGAGACGCCACCCGAUACUGCUGUGGCUAGAGUCCAGUAGGGGAGCGUGGAAUUCCUGGUGUAGCGGUGAAAUGCGCAGAUAUCAGGAGGAACACCAGCGGCGAAGGCGGCGCUCUGGGCUGGCACUGACGCUGAGGAGCGAAAGCGUGGGGAGCGAACAGG